GAGAUGGUGGCUCAGUGGUUAAGAGCACUGACUGCUUUCCAGAGGCCCUGAGUUCAAAUCCCAGCAACCACA
rnacentral:tRNA from 1 species